UGGGGAAUUUUGGACAAUGGGCGAAAGCCUGAUCCAGCAAUGCCGCGUGUGUGAAGAAGGCCUUCGGGUUGUAAAGCACUUUUGUCCGGAAAGAAAUCCUUGGCUCUAAUACAGUCGGGGGAUGACGGUACCGGAAGAAUAAGCACCGGCUAACUACGUGCCAGCAGCCGCGGUAAUACGUAGGGUGCAAGCGUUAAUCGGAAUUACUGGGCGUAAAGCGUGCGCAGGCGGUUUGCUAAGACCGAUGUGAAAUCCCCGGGCUCAACCUGGGAACUGCAUUGGUGACUGGCAGGCUAGAGUAUGGCAGAGGGGGGUAGAAUUCCACGUGUAGCAGUGAAAUGCGUAGAGAUGUGGAGGAAUACCGAUGGCGAAGGCAGCCCCCUGGGCCAAUACUGACGCUCAUGCACGAAAGCGUGGGGAGCAAAACAGGAUUAGAUACCCUGGUAGUCCACGCCCUAAACGAUGUCAACUAGUUGUUGGGGAUUCAUUUCCUUAGUAACGUAGCUAACGCGUGAAGUUGACCGCCUGGGGAGUACGGUCGCAAGAUUAAAACUCAAAUGAAUUGACGGGGUCAUAGCUG
rnacentral:rRNA from 1 species